rnacentral:rRNA from 1 species
CCUACGGGGGGCAGCAGUGGGGAAUAUUGCACAAUGGGGGAAACCCUGAUGCAGCGACGCCGCGUGAGUGAAGAAGUAUUUCGGUAUGUAAAGCUCUAUCAGCAGGGAAGAAGAAAGACGGUACCUGACUAAGAAGCCCCGGCUAACUACGUGCCAGCAGCCGCGGUAAUACGUAGGGGGCAAGCGUUAUCCGGAUUUACUGGGUGUAAAGGGAGCGUAGACGGCUGUGCAAGUCUGAAGUGAAAGCCCAGGGCUCAACCCUGGGACUGCUUUGGAAACUGUGGAGCUAGAGUGCUGGAGAGGUA